rnacentral:rRNA from 1 species
UACAGAGGGUGCAAGCGGUGUUCGGAAUUAUUGGGCGUAAAGCGCGUGUAGGCGGCUUUGCAAGUCGGGUGUGAAAGCCCUCAGCUCAACUGAGGAAGUGCGCCCGAAACUGCAGAGCUUGAGUACCGGAGAGGAUGGCGGAAUUCCCCAAGUAGAGGUGAAAUUCGUAGAUAUGGGGAGGAACACCGGUGGCGAAGGCGGCCAUCUGGACGGAUACUGACGCUGAGACGCGAAAGCGUGGGUAGCAAACAGG